GACGAACGCCGGCGGCGUGCUUAACACAUGCAAGUCGAACGGAAAGGCCCUGCUUUUGUGGGGUGCUCGAGUGGCGAACGGGUGAGUAACACGUGAGUAACCUGCCCUUGACUUUGGGAUAACUUCAGGAAACUGGGGCUAAUACCGGAUAGGAGCUCCUGCUGCAUGGUGGGGGUUGGAAAGUUUCGGCGGUUGGGGAUGGACUCGCGGCUUAUCAGCUUGUUGGUGGGGUAGUGGCUUACCAAGGCUUUGACGGGUAGCCGGCCUGAGAGGGUGACCGGCCACAUUGGGACUGAGAUACGGCCCAGGCUCCUACGGGAGGCAGCAGUGGGGAAUAUUGCACAAUGGGCGGAAGCCUGAUGCAGCAACGCCGCGUGCGGGAUGACGGCCUUCGGGUUGUAAACCGCUUUCGCCUGUGACGAAGCGUGAGUGACGGUAAUGGGUAAAGAAGCACCGGCUAACUACGUGCCAGCAGCCGCGGUGAUACGUAGGGUGCGAGCGUUGUCCGGAUUUAUUGGGCGUAAAGGGCUCGUAGGUGGUUGAUCGCGUCGGAAGUGUAAUCUUGGGGCUUAACCCUGAGCGUGCUUUCGAUACGGGUUGACUUGAGGAAGGUAGGGGAGAAUGGAAUUCCUGGUGGAGCGGUGGAAUGCGCAGAUAUCAGGAGGAACACCAGUGGCGAAGGCGGUUCUCUGGGCCUUUCCUGACGCUGAGGAGCGAAAGCGUGGGGAGCGAACAGGCUUAGAUACCCUGGUAGUCCACGCUGUAAACGGUGGGUACUAGGUGUGGGGUCCAUUCCACGGGUUCCGUGCCGUAGCUAACGCUUUAAGUACCCCGCCUGGGGAGUACGGCCGCAAGGCUAAAACUCAAAGGAAUUGACGGGGCCCCGCACAAGCGGCGGAGCAUGCGGAUUAAUUCGAUGCAACGCGUAGAACCUUACCUGGGUUUGACAUGGAUCGGGAGUGCUCAGAGAUGGGUGUGCCUCUUUUGGGGUCGGUUCACAGGUGGUGCAUGGCUGUCGUCAGCUCGUGACGUGAGAUGUUGGGUUAAGUCCCGCAACGAGCGCAACCCUUGUUCACUGUUGCCAGCACGUUAUGGUGGGGACUCAGUGGAGACCGCCGGGGUCAACUCGGAGGAAGGUGGGGAUGACGUCAAGUCAUCAUGCCCCUUAUGUCCAGGGCUUCACGCAUGCUACAAUGGCUGGUACAGAGAGUGGCGAGCCUGUGAGGGUGAGCGAAUCUCGGAAAGCCGGUCUCAGUUCGGAUCGGGGUCUGCAACUCGACCUCAUGAAGUCGGAGUCGCUAGUAAUCGCAGAUCAGCAACGCUGCGGUGAAUACGUUCCCGGG
rnacentral:rRNA from 1 species